CAGCCUCUCUCUCACACACACACUUGCUUUUCUAACGUUUCCUGAGCUCCUGGAACAGAGCCAAAUAUCACAUAUCUCCAAAAACACAGUAUAGGCACAGCUUGUUCCUUUGGAUAUUUUUUUCAGAACUUGAACAAGAGGAGCUCCUACAGAGUAUGGAAAACUUCAUCGUCAGAUAUUCAUGUGUUGGCACACUAAUGGAUUUUGUAAAACCUCAUGUCCUUUUCUUUCCAAGAUGUCUGCAUCAUGCGGUAAAAACUCAUUUUGCUGCACAAGUACUGUAACUAAUCUCCUGAUGUGUACAGUUGGUAGAGGCAUUUGCACAAUGUGGCAUUGCCCUGUUGGUUACUUUGAAUAUGGAAUAUGUGGCAGAGGAAGCCCGUGCUGUGUGACGUCUGUGCCAGGAAUAUAGGCCAAACUCUCCAGGACAACAAAAUUGAAGAAAGACUAAUGUGAAUUAAAUCAACUGCAGUGCAACAGAAAAUACUAGAAGAAAGUAUGAAUAAAUGUUGGCAUGGAUUGAGACAUUUUCGUAUAUUCCUAGUGAAGACUCUUGAAAUUCAGGAACCGUCAAGCCAGAGUGGUGUUGUAUAUGUUAAAAGGCAGAUGCCUUCACUUAUCCACCUUUAAGGAUUGUUUGUUUGAUCAAAUCUAGAGAUUUUAUUUAUUUUCCUA